GCGGGUGUAGUUUAGUGGUAAAACCUCAGCCUUCCAAGCUGAUGAUAGGGGUUCGACUUCCCUCACCCGCU
rnacentral:tRNA from 1 species